rnacentral:rRNA from 1 species
GAUGAACGCUGGCGGCGUGCCUAACACAUGCAAGUCGAGCGAAGCAUACAGGAGGAAGUUUUCGGAUGGAAUCCUGCAUGACUGAGCGGCGGACGGGUGAGUAACGCGUGGGUAACCUGCCUUAUACAGGGGGAUAACAGUUAGAAAUGACUGCUAAUACCGCAUAAGCGCACAGUACCGCAUGGUAGUGUGUGAAAAACUCCGGUGGUAUAAGAUGGACCCGCGUCUGAUUAGCCAGUUGGCGGGGUAACGGCCCACCAAAGCGACGAUCAGUAGCCGACCUGAGAGGGUGACCGGCCACAUUGGGACUGAGACACGGCCCAA